rnacentral:rRNA from 1 species
UACGGAGGGUGCGAGCGUUGUCCGGAAUCAUUGGGCGUAAAGGGCGCGUAGGUGGCCCGGUCAGUUCGUGGUGAAAGCGCGGGGCUCAACCCCGCGUCGGCCAUGGAUACUGCUGGGCUUGAGCACUGUAGAGGCAGGCGGAAUUCCGGGUGUAGCGGUGGAAUGCGUAGAGAUCCGGAAGAACACCGGUGGCGAAGGCGGCCUGCUGGGCAGUAGCUGACACUGAGGCGCGACAGCGUGGGGAGCAAACAGG